rnacentral:tRNA from 1 species
GCGCUCGUAGCUCAGGGGAUAGAGCAUCGGUUUCCGGGACCGAGUGCCGGGGGUUCGAAUCCCUCCGAGCGUG